UACGUAGGGGGCAAGCGUUGUCCGGAUUUAUUGGGCGUAAAGAGCGUGUAGGCGGUCUGGUAGGUCCGUUGUGAAAACUCGAGGCUCAACCUCGAGACGCCGAUGGAAACCAUCAGACUAGAGUCCGGAAGAGGAGAGUGGAAUUUCGUGUGUAGGGGUGAAAUCCGUAGAUCUACGAAGGAACGCCAAAAGCGAAGGCAGCUCUCUGGGUCCCUACCGACGCUGGGGUGCGAAAGCAUGGGGAGCGAACAGG
rnacentral:rRNA from 1 species